rnacentral:lncRNA from 1 species
GUGAUGCAAAUAACAUGUCAUUCUGGAUUUAUUUAGUUCAUGACGAGAAAAGUUCAACCCACAUCCUUGAUCUCAAACACGACAACGUGACAAAUUGAUCAUAAACUCUACCACUCUGAAUGGUCGACUAACUCAUACAUGGAUUGAUUCACAGCACACAACUCACUAGGUGACACAACUUGAGAUUGUUUUCUCAAUAAUGUCUCGAAAUCGGACCAGGAAACUCGAAAUGAAAGUUGCAAACUUGUACCACUAAAUCAAACUCAGGUUACAUAUAUAAACAAAGAAAGAUACCCAUCACUAACGAUGUCGCACCCGUUUCCAAUGAGUUUCUGGGGAGGAUUCGCUGCACUUGCAAAACUGCAGAAUUUACUCCAAUUUCCCUUCCUGCAAAUCCAUUGAGAUUUCACACAUUCAUCAUACACCAAAUUUCUUCUUCUUCUUCUUCUUCUUCUUCUUCUUCUUCUUCUUCUCAAUCUCAUUCAAUUCUUCCUUUCUCUCUCUUCACCUCUCUUCCUCCAUCAUUAAUUAAGCUUUAAUGAAAAAGCUCAUCUCUCUUCCACCCCUCCUUGUAUAUAAUGCUCUUUAAACUUAUUCAAAUCCACCACCGCUCAACCACAACAAAAAUACCUCUUCCUCUUCAAGCAAACUUUCACCAUAUCCAUCUCGCCUGUCCAAAAAAGGUCAGCAAAGAUAGCAAAUUAGUAGAAUUCGAGCUAAUUUGAACUAAUGAUGUUUUAUUUUUGCUGCAGGAUGAACAGAAGGAACAACAACCGCAACCGCAACAGAAACACCAUUAACAACAUUCCAGAGCUGGACUUGAAGCUAAGCCUCUCACCAAGCAGGGGAAUGGAGUCGCCUAGCCGGUCGUCAACAAUGUCGUCGGCUUCACCACCGAGCUCCUCCUGUGUGACCUCGUUGGAGACGAACCAGGACGAGAGCAGUACUAUGCUGAGGUUUACAUCCAGCCCCGAUGCGACUUCCAU